rnacentral:rRNA from 1 species
UACGGAGGGAGCGAGCGUUGUUCGGAAUUACUGGGCGUAAAGGGUGCGCAGGCGGCUUUGCAAGUCGGGGGUGAAAGCCUGUGGCUCAACCACAGAAUUGCCUUCGAUACUGUAGAGCUUGAGACCGGAAGAGGUAAGUGGAACUGCGAGUGUAGAGGUGAAAUUCGUAGAUAUUCGCAAGAACACCAGUGGCGAAGGCGGCUUACUGGUCCGGUUCUGACGCUGAGGCGCGAAAGCGUGGGGAGCGAACAGG